rnacentral:rRNA from 1 species
UACGGAGGGUGCUAGCGUUGUUCGGAAUUACUGGGCGUAAAGCGCACGUAGGCGGCUUUGUAAGUUAGAGGUGAAAGCCCGGGGCUCAACUCCGGAAUUGCCUUUAAGACUGCAUCGCUAGAAUUGUGGAGAGGUAAGUGGAAUUCCGAGUGUAGAGGUGAAAUUCGUAGAUAUUCGGAAGAACACCAGUGGCGAAGGCGACUUACUGGACACAUAUUGACGCUGAGGUGCGAAAGCGUGGGGAGCGAACAGG